GAGGGUAUAGUUCAAAUGGUAGAGUGCAUGGUCACCAUCCAUUAGGUCUUGGGUUCAAUCCUCUGUACCUCCA
rnacentral:tRNA from 1 species